rnacentral:tRNA from 1 species
AAAAAGAUAAGCUAAUAUAAGCUAUUAGGCCCAUAACCUAAAUAUAGAAUUAAGUUUCUUCUUUUUA